CUGGAAUUUAGCUCUUAGCUGCUGCUCAGAGAACUUAAAAAGGAAACUGCAAAACUAUGAGGUUUGUGCAAGAUGAGUUCCUCACGUGCUGAUGGCAGAAAUGAAAGCUUUUGGAGUUGAAAUUUGCCAACAAUUAUUAUCACACUACAAGAAUGAAGAUGCAGCCAGAAAAUCGGCCGGUGAUGUUGGAGUGCGCCAUCUACAUCAGAGUUAGGAUUGAUCUUCUUACUAAUCAACCAAGCAACCAAGCAACUGAGGAUACAUUCUGGGUGACUCCUAGGGAAGUCUGUGGACUGAGAAGGAGUCUGGCCUUGAUGGCAUCAUCCCAAAAGCAGCAAGGAGAUCCUGGUCAAGAAGCUCCAUUCUUGGAACUCUAGCAGGGGAUCUUUUGGACCCAAGCCCAUCACAUUCUCCUGACUUAUCCAGUAAUCUUAGAGCUGGUCUGAUCUAUAAGGGGAAUUAAUUUGCCUCCCAUUGGGAGCAAUGGAAGGGAGAAAAAGUGACUGUAAAUCCCAACAGACAGAAAGAGACAGAAUAUCCUGCCACUUUAAGCCUGACAGGUCGUAAUAGAGUCGUUUGGCUGCAUAGUAUUCUUUGUCUCCAAACCAUCUUCUUGCAUUUUUCUGCUGAGCAAGAAUUGUGAUCAAUGGAAUAUAAGCCAGGCUGAUCUACAGCUCACAGAAAGAUGAACUGGUAGACCAACAUCCCAAAUCAGUGACUAGUUACCCAGAAAGGUUCAUGGAGUAUAGAUAGAAGAGGGUAAGCCUGCUCACAAUUGUUUGAACAAUUACAGAACUCUGGCCAUUUUCUUCAGUGAAUCCAGUGUUCUUGCUAUCCAUUCUGAGUUGGCCAGUUUGGUUUCUCUCUUACAUUUAGGAAACAGCAGAUAUUGGAAACCAAAUCUAAAACUUAUUUACUUACCUAUAUUUUAUCUGGCUAUUCCCAUUCCUUUGGGAGCUUAAGGUGGCUUACAUGAAAGUAUUCUCCAGAUUUAUUCCCUACAGCAACAAUCCUGUGAAGUGGGUCGUGCUGAAAUAAUGGACUUGAAGUCAUCCAGUCAGCUCCAUGGUAAAGUGGAGAACUGAACUUGGAUCUCCCCAGCUCCAACUCAAAACCUUAAGCACUAUACUUUACCAAAUCUGCUAUCCUUUCAUCUGUUGACAAGAUCCUACAAUUGGUUGAUCUGGAAUAGCAACACCUGAUAAUGCUAUAUCUAUCCAGCUAUGCAUAGCUGUUGUAGUCCUUGGAAAACUGAUGGACUAUUUUCUGAACAUUCCUGAAACAUAAGUAGAGGUGUUGCAUUUAUCAUAAAGCUCAGAGUAAUAAUUGUUUAAUCAGGCCAUGUAUCCCUAUAGUCUGAAUUAUCUGAGAAAAGAUUCUUGAUAAAAUUCAGUGUUCUUGCAUACCAAAAUUUUCUCUUCUACAUUCAGGAUUAGCUCUGUAGAGCCACAAGGAAAUCUGGCUCAGAUUCCAGGAUCUUCAGAGCUGCAUUUUCAAGCACCUGAAAACAGUUCAGUGUACAAAGAGGGCAUGUACACUGGUUAUGUCUAUAUAAUAUUAGUCAUACGUAAUUGUAUGUCAGGAGACAAUCCAUGUUUAUUACUUCUCUGUUAGAGUCUCUCAAUGAGACCCUUCUCAGUCUGCUGCCCUCCGGGUGCAUUUGGAUUACAGUUCCCAUAAUCUCAACUGUCCCAUUGAAUGUUAUUGACUUAAUACUCUACGUAAAGAUUGAGUGCAUUUAUUUGCUUAGAAUGGGUGUUUUAAAAAGAACCUGUCAGAUUAGAUAUAGAAGAUGAUAGACCUGGUAUAAGAUUGCUUCCUCUGUGGAUGAACAAAUAAUUAUGUCCA